GGCAAGAUAAGAGAAGUAGUACCUGCUCAAUGAUUUAAAUAGAGUUUACUCUUAAAGUAGCAUAAUUACUUGUCGCUUAAUUAGUGACUUGUCUGAAUGGUUUAUUAAUUCCUUAGGUUUAUUACUUUUUUUUUUUGAAUUUUAUUUUUUAUUAAAAAAUAUAAAUAAUUUAGAAAAAGACGAGAAGACCCUUUAAGAAUUCUCUUUUUGAGGGAUUAAUUGGGGUAAUUCUUUUUUUUAAGAAUUGAUAGGUAAAUAAAAAUUACUGAAGGGAUAACAGGACAAUAGGGCCUAUGAGGUCAUAUUGUAGGUCUUGAUUGUUACCUCGAUGUUGAAUUAAGCGGUAGGGGUAGGAGCAGUUUUUUACUCUUUAGGCCUGUUCGGCCUGA
rnacentral:rRNA from 1 species